rnacentral:lncRNA from 1 species
GAUUGUUUUAACUUUAUAUGCUUUGUUCAACGUGAAUUGAAAGUGAUUGUGGAUGAUGUGGUUCACAGAGUACAAUGAGUCUGUGUAGCUGCUUUGGAUUCUUGCUGUUUGUCCUCCACAAUCUCCCAGGCACCACAGAGGAUUUCUUCCUAGAUUCGUCUCAUUCUGCUUUUCCCAUCACCUUCGGUUUGGGAGUCAUCUUCAUGUCUGUUAUUUUAGUCGUUUUUGCUGCAUAUAAAUGGAAACAAAACAAAAACAGAAACAAAGAGAGGGAGCACCUUAAGACAACUGAGAAGAAUUCAAUCAAGGCUUUCCAUACAGGACAAAGAGACAAUGAGACCAAGAAUUUGGAGGAUGAAAUUGAUGAAAUUCAGCCUCUCCGAGACCAGAAUCAGAGCAUGGAGAACGAGCUGCAGACCUUGAAGAGAGAGCUGGAGACCAACAAAAAACAGUUGGAGGAUAAAAUAGAUGAAAUGCAGCAUCUCCGAGACCAGAAUCAGAGCAUGGAGAAUGAGCUGCAGACCUUGACGAGAGAGCUGGAGACCAACAAAAAACAGUCAGCUGACAAGGCCAGGGGGCAGACCUUUGAGGAGCUUAAGAACACCCAGUUUGAACUGGAGAAAAAGACUGCGGAGAUCAGGAACCUGCGGAGAGAGUUUGAUGACAGACUCAGGGAAGAGAAUCAGAGUAAAGAGAAAUGCCUGCAGACCCUGAAGGAGGAGCUGGAGAGCAAGAACAAGGAGCUUUGUGAGUCCAAGCUUCAGUUCGAAUCUCUCAUGAAGAAGAAUCAGGAGUUUGAGAGAAAGCUGACUGAACUUAGAGAGCUGCACAAGCAGGUGUUAAAGAAGAUGGUCGAGGAUGAGCAGCAGAGGACGGAGGAAGUACAAAAGGAAGUGGAGACCCUGAAGAUGGAGCUGGAGAAGAAGAAGGACGAGCAGAAAAGCCAAGCAGGGGAGUCAGAUGUUCAGAAAUCUCUGAUAGUAUGUGACAGCUCUGGAGAAGAACAUUUAGUGUCAGAGGAACAGAGUAAAGCAGCGGAGAUGGCUGAAGAAUUACCAAAUGUUGCAAAAGAAGUUGUGAACUGACAAUCUGUACAACAAGCAGAAUCCAGUGAUUUGUUUGAUUUGGAGCUAUUAUGUACAUAUUCAGUGCAAAAGAAGUAGUGUGAUGCAGUUUGGGAAGUUUAAAUUGUUUGAUGACUGACUGCACUAAAAGUACAUAAACAAUUCUGAAAAAAAAAUAAAAACAUACUUGUAUUUAUACCUUAAACAGCCUUUUAAUAUAUAUGACUAUAAUAUAAUAUUCAUCACUGCUAUUUUUAAUUGCCUUACUCUAUGUUGUUACUGUAACAGUUUAAUAAAAUAAUUACUUCUGUG